CUGGCACUUGGUCUGGUUUGUUCUCAGGCCCUACCUUGUGUAGAGGCUGCCAGCCACUGGUUGGCUGGCAGGGCUGGGUCAUGGGGCUGCUGGCUAUGUGAUCCUGGGGGGUUCUGGAGCUAGUGCUGGCUCACUGGUGGGCAGGGCUGGGUUCUGGAGUGGGUGAUUGUGGGGCUGGGGGUCUCAGAUUUAGUGUCAGCCUGCUGGUGGGUGGGGCCAGUUCCUGAUACAACUGGCUGCAGUAUCUGGGAUGUCCCAAGGCUAGUGUUGGCCCACUGGUGAGGGAGACUGGAUCCUGGACAGAUGGCUGAGGGGUCCAAGGUGUCUCUUCUGUGGACUUUGGCUUGCAGGGGGAAAGGUGCAUUAGAGGGAACACUGAGGACAGGUGGGAAAUCAUUUACUCUGCUUCCCAUUUAGCAAUCUGAAAGAAGCCACUUCUUAAACUAUCCCCUGUCCUAUCCUGUAGUAGAUCCAGGACAACUGGACAGCCUGGUGGGGUCAGGCAGAGGGAGCUAUCUUCAUUAUCUUGGGCUGUCAAAACAAAAUACCAUAGACUGGGUGGCUUAAAUAAAAUAAUUUAUUUUCUCACAGUUCUGGAGGCCAGGAAGUCUAAGACUUGUGCCAGUCAAUUUGGUUUCCCGUGGGGUCUCUCUUCCUGACUUGCAGAUGGCCGCCUUCUCACCAUGUCCUCACAUAGCAGAGACAGAGAGAGACAGAGAGUGGCCUCCCUGGUGUCUCUUUUUGUUGUUGUUAUUGUAUUCAUUCACCUGUUUUAUAUUUUAGGUUUCACGUAUAGGUGAUAACAUACAGUAUUUGACUUCUCUAACUUAUUUCACUUAGCAUAAUACCCUCCAGGUCCAUCCGUGAUGUUGCAAAUGGCAGAAGUUCAUUCUUUUUUAUGGCUUAGUAAUAUUCCAUUGUAUAUAUGCCUGGUGUCUCUUAUAAGGACACUCAUUUUACGAGAUUAGGGCUUCACUCUUAUGACUUCAUUUAACCUUAAUUAGUUCCUUACUCCAAAUACUGGCGCACUGGGGGUUAGGCUUCAACAUAUGAAUUUUGGGGUUACAUAACUCCGUCCAUAGCAGGAGGCUUUGAAAUUUAGUUUCCCUGAGCUGCCUGGGAUCCUGAGUGGUCUAAGUAGACCUAGAGAUGGCUGUGGAGCUGGCUGGAGAGCUUGCUAGAAGGGACCACAGUACCAGAGUGAGGUACCAGAUCUGCCCUCUGCCUAAAAUUCAGCAUGUGCCAUGGUGAAUUGCAAAUGUUUAUUAAAAGAAUCAGUUGACUGUGCCUUCUUUUUGUAGGUGUCACAUGAGUGUCCCAAGUUCUCCAGCCUUCAGGAGUCACCCUUUCCUUGAACAUCCACUGAAUAUCAGCUCCCAGAUCUGCAGGAAAUCCAUUCAAGAGCCCAGUACAUGCUGAUGUGUUUCCAUAGAUCCAUCCUGUAGCUGUUGCAUUUUUCUCUGAAUGGCUCCAUUGUGCCAGGCCUCUUUGUGGUCACCUACAGCCAUUUCUUCACCUCUUCUCCCAGUUGCUGUUCUUUCCCUAAGCUAUUUUGCUCUGAACAUCCUCUGAGCAGGCAUGGCUGGCUCCAGGACAGCACACACUCCAAACUCUGGCCUGAUCUUGUUUCUGCCUCAGAAGCAUGUGGUGCUGUGGCCUCAGAUGCCAUCAGGGUGUCUUCUAGCUCAUCCAGGCAGGCCUGCUCUCAAACGUUCAGCUGGGAGAAUGUGACAAUUUUCUGGAGUUUGAUAAUCUUCCAUCUUCCUUGGUGAUCCACUGAUGGUCUCACAACCCAGCUGAAUACUUAUAUUCAAUCCCAGGAGAUUCUGAGAAGGUGUUGGUUUGUAGAGGAGAAAAGAUGGGAGAUGAUGGGGAGGAAGAGAAGAUGUGGGGAAGCCAGAGAAGAGAGAAAGAGGAAAACAUAUUACAACUUAACCCAAUUUAACUCAAACUUGAAUGUGCAUCCAAAUCACCUAGAAGGCUUGUUAAAGCACAGAGCGCUGGAUCCCACCUCAGAGUUUCUGAUUCAGAUUGCUGUGAGCAUUAAAUGAGCUAAACCAUGAAAAGCACAUGUCCAGCACCUACUAAGGGCUCUGUAAAAAGGUUCCCCUCAUGGGAAGAGGUGGGGGGCACUGGACCACCUGCGCAAGAAUCUACUGAAAGACUCGAUAAACGUGCAGACACCCCAGUACCCCUGAGAGUGUGGGCCAGGAAUCUACGUGAUUAACCAACAGCAGUGUGACCAGUUGUCUACUUGUCUACGUUCCUUCCAAGACAUGGCCAGUAGAUGGCGGUGCAGUCUGCACUUUCAAUGCAGCUUCCGCAUUUCUGGAAAGAUCUCCCUGUGAAACUUCCUGUGAAUUCAAGUUAACAUCCACCAGGAGAGCUUGGCUGCUUAAGCUGCUCUCCCCUCCUGUCCCUUCGGAGUGACUUCUCUUGAUGCCCCAGGACCUCAAAGUGGUCAGAACUCACUUGGAAUUUCCUAAACUCCUCUUGGUGAGAGACCCCUCUUUCUGAAGAGCUAGCCAGCAACUGUAAAAUAAUAAUACCCCAACUAGCAUUUUCUGAGAACUUACUGUGUGACUAGCAAGACUCUCACUUUCUCAUUUAACUCUCACAGCUACCCCGGAGAAGGAGAUUGUUAACCUUCCCACAGUCACACAGCAAGUUCCCAUCACUACCUCCUGUUUCCAUCUUGGCUGGAACUUGUGCUUCAGUCAGAGGAGCAGACGGGGAGCAAUAAUGUCUGUGUCUCAGGCCCAGGCUCUGAGAGCUUGGGGAGCGUCCUGAGAAAGGAGAGGAUGCCCUUCCCUGCCUUGGGGGCCAGGGUGACCAGGCAGGGAGCUGCAAGGGACAGACACUGGGUCAGUCCCCUUGUUAAGGGGGCUUCAACUGUUUAGGGAGGCAGAUACGACAUGGGUCACAGCACAUGGAGGGCCAGUGGGCAGGCUGUCUAGAGACUCUGAGAGGCUGGAGGGACUGGGGGGCUUUCAAAGGCUGGGGGUGAAACCGCACAACUCAGAUUGGGAUUUGAACCCAUGGGCCGGGACUCAAACCUGGCCAAAACCCAGAUGGGGACUUGAAUCCACUGUCUUUUAAUUAAAAUCACAUAUCUGGUCUCAGGACCUACUGAAGUUCAGGGUCUUUAUGUCUCAGCAAUUCAGUGAGAGACAAAGCAAUAGGUAAAAAGUGGAUUUACUUAGAGGAAUACACAUUCCAUAGAGGGAGUGUGGUAUGUCUCAAAAGGCUAGAGUGGCCCUGGGAGAAACACACUCCACAGACAGAGUGUGGGCCAUCUCAGAAGGCGAGAGGCCCUGAAAUAUGGGGUGGUUAGUUUUUAUGGGCUGGGUAAUUUCAUAGGCUAAUGAGUGGGAGGAUUAUUCCAACUAUCUUGGAGAAGGGGCAGGGAUUUCCAGGAAUUGGGCCACCGCCCACUUUUUGGCCUUUUAUGGUUAGUCUCAGAACUGUCAUGGCCCUGCUGUCAUUUAGCAUAUGCUAAUGUAUUACAAUGAGCAUAAAAUGAAGCUCAAGGUCUACUGGAAGUCGAAUCUUCUGCCAUCUUGGACCUAGUUGGUUCUUACCAGUUUAUGUCACAUCCAAAGGCUAUGUCAUUCUUUUAAAGGUUGUGCCCUGCCCGCUUCCCACCUGUUUCAGGGGGACACUGUGGGACAUUCAGUCUGUGUAAUGCUCACAAUAGAGCAAAUCAUACUUGUUGAAUUUGUUUCUGCUUAUUUAAUCCUUUUCUAAGACGACUGAGGGAUUUUCAAGGGAAGGGAUCCAUGGUAUCGGGGAGGAUGGUGUGAAAUGAGCCUGGAGACGUGGACAGGUAAGAAUGUUCACCUGGAGAUGUGGGCAGGUGGGGAUUUUCACCAAUGGGUGUGGUCAAGGGAAUUGUCCUAGAAAGCAGAGAAGGAGAUCUGGAAGGCAUCCUUAUCAAUAUGUACUUCUGUUGAGGUCAACGCUGCACAUUGUUUAUGCAAGACCUCAACUCCCCUUCUUCGUUGUUAGCAGAACCCUGGAUUAGUUGAAGUGACCACCUGCCCAGCUAAAGAGCUACAUUUCCCAGCACUGGCAGCUAGUCCUGGCCAAUGAGAUGUGAGCCAACAAAGCUGGGCUGGUGUAUUAGUCUGGAUUCAAUCAGGAGAGAAAAACCGCAUGGUAAUUUGAAUAGGGAAAGUGUAAUAUAAAGAAUUAUUGACUGUAACAGAGGAUUGAAGUAAUGAGGGGUUGCCUAGUGAGAGGUAAAGAGAACUCAAGAAUACAGGUGAAGUAGCAGAUAUAAGAAGCAAUCAUGACUCUCAGGGCUGAGAAAGAGCUUGCCCUCCCCUAUGCCCUCCCCCCAGUGCUGAGGUCCAGACUUUGUUGGAUUGGGCACAGCUGUGGUUCACUGAACAGCAGAGAAGUUACUGAGGUCUGCCCUGGUGGAACUUGCCAGAAAACUGCCCUCUAUCUUCCCAGGGAAAGCUAUCCUGAUACCACUGAGGUAUCUCAAUGGAAGCACUUGAAUACAAAAUUGCCAAAGGUGGGGUUCCUGGGGGAAGCUACUGGCCUUUCAGUGCUUCUGGCUGCUGUAGACUAUAGGAACAGGUGCUGGAGCAGCUGCCUGCGCUGUAGGAGGCUGCUGAGUGACCCACCUGAACCAGGAAAGGGUGGGCUCCUGGAAGAGCCCUCUAAAAGGGAUUAGAUUUGGCUAGUUUGUCCCUUUUGCACUUUGAUCUUCCCUUUCUUCCUGCAUCCUGGAUCCAGAAUGAAGAGGACUUGGCACAGAGCUGCACUUGGCACUGACAUGUCACGUGAGUGAGAAAUAAACCACUGUGGUGGUCAGCCACUAAGAUCUUGGGGUUGUUUGUUCUGCAGCACAACCUGCUGAAACCUGACCAAUACACAUGAAGAAUGUUUAUAUAAUAAUUGCCAGUUAAAGUAAAUAGAAAUUUCCUGUUUUGUAAAAUACUAUGAGGAGGUGAGAAUUAUGGUUAAAGAAAGAGCCAAUAAGGUCUAAAGCAAAGAAAAAGAGUCAUAAAAAUACUUGCUGGACAUUAGAAACACUGAUGCUUUCAAAUUUAUUACAGGAACAGGAGAAGAAAGAAAAAAGAACAAAAUGGGAAGGAGAAAGAGAAAGGUGAACAACAGCAGCAGCAGAGACAAAUUGACAGAGCAAGUAACAGAAGAACAUGUCAUCUGAAAUGAAUGUGGCAGAGUUGAGCAAAUUGGCAAGAGUACCUUCCAGACGCACAGAGAUAUCUGUAACACAUUUAAGGAAGACAUGGAGAGUCCCUGCCUAUCUCCCGGAUAUUAACAAACCUGGCUGCCCCGUACUCAUCAAGUAUGUGCCUGGCCUUCCUGGAAUCCUCUCUUGGGGCCAUCCCCUGGAAUGUCCUAGAGCGCUCUAGAAUGCUCUGAAAUGAAGGCUUGCUUGCAAACUAGGCUGAGUUUCUUAAAAAUAUGCAGAGGAGACCAACCCACAGCUUUUCCAGGCAAUGUGGCAAACAGCCUCAUAUCACAUCCAGAAUUUUGAGCUGGUGAACUCCUACCCCAUUGUACAGCCACGUGCGGGCCCCGCCCAUCUUACCAGUCAGCGCAUGCCAACCUGAGUUCUACUUGCUGGCACUUGCGUUUCUUUGCCUGAGAGGUUUCUACAGCUGCUAGAGCCCGCCCUGCCCAGACUAGAAGAACCAGAGAACUAUGUCCCCAGGAGCUCCCCUCAAGCAGUGGCUGAUGGGAGAUGAUGUACAAGCAUCCCGGCAAUCUCAGCCCUUGGGCGGAUACUCUGAGUGUUCUACACUGGCUCCCAGAGUUUCCCGAGUGGGAUUAAGAAUCUCCAGGAAUAUGCUGCACAUAUGGAAAUGCAACUUGGCAAUCCAGCUGUGGCCCCCAAGCCCUGUCUUUCGCCCUGUCCUCAAACUCUCAGGUACCGGACGUUGGUGCCCAAAAACAGGAAGUCCUAGGAGAGACAAGACAGGACACGAUGGUAAAAGCAUCCUCUACUCCAAAAAGAUGCAUCUCUGAUUUAAAGGGAGGCCCACGUCUGGGGAAGCACAAGCUCUGCUAGAAACCAGUGGCUGUUGUUUGCUGGAUGUUGACUAUGUACCAGGCACAAAGCAGCAUCUCCUUUAAUGCUCACAAGCCUGCCAACCCAGUCAUCCCACCUUACGGAUGCUCUUCUAGAAAGAUAACCUGAACCGUGGGGCACCGAUGGCGCAUAAAAUGCUUGGUCAGAAGAGAGGAGAGUCUGGUGAAGACUCAGACAUAUUCCUUGGUAUUCAAAUAGUGCCAAAGCAUUGCUUAGUAGAUACUCUAAAUUAAUUAUUACCCUAAUCAUUUCAUAAAUAAAAACAAUAAUAGGGCUUCCCUGGUGGCGCAGUGGUUAAGAAUCCAUCUGCCAAUGCAGGGGACACGUGUUCGAGCCCUGGUCCAGGAAGAUCCCACAUGCCACGGAGCAACUAAGCCCGUGCGCCACAACUACUGAAGCCCGCGUGCCACAACUACUGAAGCCCACGCGCCUAGAGCCCGUGCUCCACAACAAGAGAAGCCACCGCAAUGAGAAGCCCGCGCACUGCAACGAAGAGUAGCCCCGGCACACCGCAACUAGAGAAAGCCCGUGUGCAGCAACGAAGACCCAAUGCGGCCAAAAAUAAAAUAAAUAAAAUAAAAAUAAAUUAAAAAAAAAACAAACAAAAAACAAUAAUAACUUACAUUGAAUACUCCAACUUUAGAUUCUUUCAGUUCCACUUGCAUCCUAUGACAAAUCAGAGAAGAUUCAGAGAUGUGGGCAUUAUGUUCAAGGGAAACCUAAGCAAUGUAGGGAUCCCCAGAAAGGAGGAGACACCAGCUUGAGAAGGCACAGGGCCAAGGGUGUGGGAGCAGUGAGAGUGGAAAAGGUGGUUGAGGAGCCAAAAACAAUGAUACAACCUUAUUGGGAAGACUUGCA